rnacentral:misc_RNA from 1 species
UUUUGGCUGUGCUUUUAGGAUACGCAUCCUUGCUAAUCAGGUCCUAUUGGAGAUUAUGCUCUAAAAUGGACAAGAUAGGAUCUUCUGGUUCCCAAAUAACCUAUCAGUAAAAUAGCCUGAGAGAGGGAUAAGGCUAAGUAGAGGGACAAGGUUUAUCCACAGUUCAGAAAUGAAAUCUAAAACAAAGAGGCAACCAUUCGUGAAUUUUUUAAUUAACAAUGAAGUAUUUAUACAUCCUGGCCAAAUGAAUUUUGUAUUGAAAAAUGAAUGUGGGUUGAGAAUCUUAGCUUUGUUCUCGUUAUCGAUAGCUUCCUUUUUGGAUAUUUAGUGUAGCCUCUUCACUCUAAAUACCCCUAGAGAUGCUCCACUGUCUUCCUGUCCGUGCAAUUUGCUCCAUUGUUGUCUUUCUUCUUUUCUUAAUCUAUGUGAUUGUGACUAUCAAACUAUGACUGUGGAGGUGAGUUGUGCUUUAGCACAAUGAAGAAUAUGAAGGCAAGGCUGGCAAACAGCAGACACAUUGCAGACAAUAUGAGUAUAUCUGUAUUACCCCUCUCUUGGUUCAAGCUUCUUAUUGAUGCCACUCUAUCCCACACAUAAGAAUCAUCCGGCAACUUGGGGCAACUGCAAUUUGAUGCACACUCCUUUGUGUUGCAGUAGAAACUGAUAGAAGUCAUUCUAUUC